GACGAACGCUGGCGGCGUGCUUAACACAUGCAAGUCGAACGGAAAGGCCCUGCUUUUGUGGGGUGCUCGAGUGGCGAACGGGUGAGUAACACGUGAGUAACCUGCCCUUGACUUUGGGAUAACUUCAGGAAACUGGGGCUAAUACCGGAUAGGAGCUCCUGCUGCAUGGUGGGGGUUGGAAAGUUUCGGCGGUUGGGGAUGGACUCGCGGCUUAUCAGCUUGUUGGUGGGGUAGUGGCUUACCAAGGCUUUGACGGGUAGCCGGCCUGAGAGGGUGACCGGCCACAUUGGGACUGAGAUACGGCCCAGACUCCUACGGGAGGCAGCAGUGGGGAAUAUUGCACAAUGGGCGGAAGCCUGAUGCAGCAACGCCGCGUGCGGGAUGACGGCCUUCGGGUUGUAAACCGCUUUCGCCUGUGACGAAGCGUGAGUGACGGUAAUGGGUAAAGAAGCACCGGCUAACUACGUGCCAGCAGCCGCGGUGAUACGUAGGGUGCGAGCGUUGUCCGGAUUUAUUGGGCGUAAAAGGGCUCGUAGGUGGUUGAUCGCGUCGGAAGUGUAAUCUUGGGGCUUAACCCUGAGCGUGCUUUCGAUACGGGUUGACUUGAGGAAGUUAGGGGAGAAUGGAAUUCCUGGUGGAGCGGUGGAAUGCGCAGAUAUCAGGAGGAACACCAGUGGCGAAGGCGGUUCUCUGGGCCUUUCCUGACGCUGAGGAGCGAAAGCGUGGGGAGCGAACAGGCUUAGAUACCCUGGUAGUCCACGCUGUAAACGGUGGGUACUAGGUGUGGGGUCCAUUCCACGGGUUCCGUGCCGUAGCUAACGCUUUAAGUACCCCGCCUGGGGAGUACGGCCGCAAGGCUAAAACUCAAAGGAAUUGACGGGGCCCCGCACAAGCGGCGGAGCAUGCGGAUUAAUUCGAUGCAACGCGUAGAACCUUACCUGGGUUUGACAUGGAUCGGGAGUGCUCAGAGAUGGGUGUGCCUCUUUUGGGGUCGGUUCACAGGUGGUGCAUGCCUGUCGUCAGCUCGUGUCGUGAGAUGUUGGGUUAAGUCCCGCAACGAGCGCAACCCUUGUUCACUGUUGCCAGCACGUUAUGGUGGGGACUCAGUGGAGACCGCCGGGGUCAACUCGGAGGAAGGUGGGGAUGACGUCAAGUCCUCAUGCCCCUCAUGUCCAGGGCUUCACGCAUGCUACAAUGGCUGGUACAGAGAGUGGCGAGCCUGUGAGGGUGAGCGAAUCUCGGAAAGCCGGUCUCAGUUCGGAUUGGGGUCUGCAACUCGACCUCAUGAAGUCGGAGUCGCUAGUAAUCGCAGAUCAGCAACGCUGCGGUGAAUACGUUCCCGGG
rnacentral:rRNA from 1 species